rnacentral:tRNA from 1 species
GGGCCUUUAGCUCAGUGGUUAGAGCAUCCGACUCAUAAUCGGCAGGUCCCCAGUUCAAGUCUGGGAAGGCCCACCA